rnacentral:rRNA from 1 species
CUGGUUGAUCCUGCCGGAGUUACUGCUAUCGAGGUUCGACUAAGCCAUGCGCAGUCGAAUGUAGCAAUACAUGGCGUACUGCUCAGUAACACGUGGACAACCUACCCUUAGGACGGGGAUAAACCCGGGAAACUGGGUAUAAUACCCGAUAGAUCUGGGCUGCUGGAAUGCAUUCAGAUUUAAAACUCCGGUGCCUAAGGAUGGGUCUGCGGCCUAUCAGGUUGUAGUGGGUGUAGCGUACCUACUAGCCUACGACGGGUACGGGUUGUGAGAGCAAGAGCCCGGAGAUGGAUUCUGAGACACGAAUCCAGGCCCUACGGGGUGCAGCAGGCGCGAAAACUUUACAAUGCCGGCAACGGCGAUAAGGGGACCUCGAGUGCCAGGUUACAAAUCUGGCUGUCGCGAUGCCUAAAAAGCAUUGCAUAGCAAGGGCCGGGCAAGACCGGUGCCAGCCGCCGCGGUAACACCGGCGGCUCAAGUGGUAACCGUUAUUAUUGGGUCUAAAGGGUCUGUAGCCGGCCGGGUAAGUCUCUUGGGAAAUCCAGCAGCUUAACUGUUGGGCUUUCAGGAGAUACUGCCUGGCUCGAGGCUGGGAGAGGUGAGAGGUACUUUCAGGGGUAGGGGUGAAAUCUUGUAAUCCUUGAAGGACCACCAGUGGCGAAG